CUAACUCUCUAGUUAUCCACAGAAAAGAUGCAGUAUGGCCAAUGGCAUGGUAAACUUUCCCAUACCACCUAGCCAAUGUGCCUCAAUUCUCACCUGGAAGGAUCACCUACCUCUAGGGAUUAGUAGUUUAAAUUCCUUUUAUUUUAUGGCUUCU
rnacentral:sRNA from 1 species